rnacentral:lncRNA from 1 species
AUGUCUAAAGAGGCGUUGAUUGGAGUGGAGGGUAUGAAACUGCACACUGAUCUCUUUGAACACAGGCACCUCAUGGUGGAAAGGCAGCUGUCCAAUUUCGUCAUUGACACAGAUGUUGAAUUCCUGAAUCUUGGUGGACAAUGGGGGAAUAUUUUCAAUCAGGCACAGAAAUGUUCUAGAACAAGAAAGAAGAAAGUUUCCAAGUUCUGGCACUCUGGCCAGGCCCGGGUGCAUCUGAGAGAAAGCUCUCCGGCAGAGCUGCAGGUGCCAUAG